ensembl:lncRNA PMS2P4 PMS1 homolog 2, mismatch repair system component pseudogene 4
GUGGAGGGAACUUUCCCAGGCCCCGAGGCGGAUCGGGUAUUGAGUCCAUGGAGCGAGCUGAGAGCUAGAGUACAGAACCUGCUAAGGCCAUCAAACCUAUCGAUCGGAAGUCAGUCCAUCAGAUUUGCUCUGGGCCGGUGGUACUGAGUCUAAGCACUGCGGUGAAGGAGUUAGUAGAAAACAGUCUGGAUGCUGGUGCCACCAAUAUUGAUCUAAAGCUUAAGGACUAUGGAGUGGAUCUCAUUGAAGUUUCAGACAAUGGAUGUGGGGUAGAAGAAGAAAACUUUGAAGGCUUAACGAUGUCACCAUUUCUACCUGCCACGCAUCGGCGAAGGUUGGGACUCGACUGGUGUUUGAUCACGAUGGGAAAAUCAUCCAGAAAACCCCCUACCCCCACCCCAGAGGGACCACAGUCAGCGUGAAGCAGUUAUUUUCUACACUACCUGUGCACCAUAAGGAAUUUCAAAGGAAUAUUAAGAAGGUACAGUAAAUUAAUCCUGGUUUUCAAGAGUAUUGGUUAAUGCACAUGAGCAAAAGAUUUACUAAAGAUGUUUAUUCUUCAGUUGAUUCUCUUACCAUAAUCUAUUGAGACAUGCUUUAUUUGCAUUUCUCGUUAAAGACUUAACAUUAAAGACUUAACUUUAGGGUGAUUUA